UACGUAGGGUGCGAGCGUUGUCCGGAAUUAUUGGGCGUAAAGAGCUUGUAGGCGGUUUGUCGCGUCUGCUGUGAAAAUCCGGGGCUCAACCCCGGACUUGCAGUGGGUACGGGCAGACUAGAGUGUGGUAGGGGAGACUGGAAUUCCCGGUGUAGCGGUGAAAUGCGCAGAUAUCGGGAGGAACACCUAUGGCGAAGGCAGCUCGCUGGGACGUUACUGACGCUGAGACGCGAAAGCGUGGGGAGCAAACAGG
rnacentral:rRNA from 1 species